CUCCCACAAACAGAGACACCAAUUCUUCCCUGUGCAGACCUCCAUCUGCCCAAGAACUACUGUUGGGACCUGAGAUAUUUUUAACACCCAAUUAAAUUGGUGUAAUUGGAUAGAAUGGCAACUUCUUUGCCUCCAGCUGUGAGCCAUAAUCUGUUUCACACCUGAGUGUUGUUUUCCUUGCGUUUUCUGUGCUUUCCCCUGAGUUGUGGAGAUGGGUUCGAUGGAAGCUCGAAUUCUUGGUCCUCUGAUAAACAGAUUAUUUCUCCAUCAUGUUGGAGUCACCGUGGCUAUCCCACAAAUCACACUUGGGCUCCUUGUCUUCCUAAGCCGUGUUGUCGAUUCAGUGGGAUUCUUAGUCCACAGACACUCUCUGAGCAGUCAUCAUAUUCCUAGCAGAUUGCUUUGGCCUCUUCUACACCAAUCCUGCUGGACACCUGUGAGGAAGCCCUAGAUGAUGUUCCUCUGAUCAGAUCACACCACGGCUGGGUUGUAGAAGGAUCUGCAGGAGCCAAGACCAUCCUGUACCAGCCAGUCCUCUGCAGUCCUGCAGUCAGUGCUAUUUGAC
rnacentral:lncRNA from 1 species